rnacentral:lncRNA from 1 species
UCAAUGUCAAAAGAUUGGUUCCUUUUUAAGCAGUUUUCAUUUGCAUUUGCAUUGGUUCCUUUUAUAAUUUAAUGUGUAACUUUAAAGCUUAGAAAUCUAUGUAUUGUGUGUAAUUUUUAUUAUAUAUACCUUGAACCAGUGCCUCAAAUGGUUCAAUGAUAGUAUGAUUAUGAAAACAUUGUUUUUUUUCCCAGAGUGGAAAUGAAGAAAAUGAUAGCUUUGGGGUUUGAGGGUUCAGCUAACAAGAUUGGUGUUGGGGUUGUGACAUUGGAUGGCACCAUUCUUUCAAACCCACGCCACACCUACAUCACUCCUCCUGGUCAAGGCUUUCUUCCCAGGGAAACAGCACAGCACCAUCUCCAACACAUUCUUCCCCUUGUCAAAUCUGCUCUGCAAACAGCACAGGUCACUCCACAGGAUAUUGACUGCAUCUGUUACACCAAGGGUCCUGGCAUGGGAGCUCCAUUACAAGUGUCUGCUAUUGUUAUUCGUGUGCUUUCACUGCUUUGGAAGAAGCCCAUUGUUGCUGUCAAUCAUUGUGUAGCACAUAUUGAGAUGGGAAGGGUUGUCACCGGUGCUGUUGAUCCUGUUGUUCUGUAUGUCAGUGGUGGCAACACUCAAGUCAUUGCUUACAGUGAAGGGCGUUACCGAAUCUUUGGGGAAACCAUUGAUAUUGCUGUGGGGAAUUGCUUGGAUCGCUUUGCAAGGGUGUUGACUCUUUCUAAUGAUCCUAGUCCUGGAUAUAACAUUGAGCAGGUGCUUCACUAACUAUCUAUUUUACGUAGUUUAUGGUGCUUGUAUGGAAUAUGGAACAUUUUUGUUGUACUUUUCCCUUAGCUGGGUUACAAUAUGAGAGGUUGCUUGUAUGGUCUUACAUUGGAAGUUAAAAUUGAAUGAGUUUGUCCUCUUCAUUUUUGUUUCUGAUAUCAAACCUGGUGCUUCUAGUUUUCUGUUAUUUAUAUGCAACUUAAGCAGUAAUGAAUUGUAUUUGCCUAUAUGACUCGCGUUGUAUUGUGCUAUCUUCAAUGUCAAAAGAUUGGUUCCUUUUUAAGCAGUUUUCAUUUGCAUUUGCAUUGGUUCCUUUUAUAAUUUAAUGUGUAACUUUAAAGCUUAGAAAUCUAUGUAUUGUGUGUAAUUUUUAUUAUAUAUACCUUGAACCAGUGCCUCAAAUGGUUCAAUGAUAGUAUGAUUAUGAAAACAUUGUUUUUUUUCCCAGAGUGGAAAUGAAGAAAAUGAUAGCUUUGGGGUUUGAGGGUUCAGCUAACAAGAUUGGUGUUGGGGUUGUGACAUUGGAUGGCACCAUUCUUUCAAACCCACGCCACACCUACAUCACUCCUCCUGGUCAAGGCUUUCUUCCCAGGGAAACAGCACAGCACCAUCUCCAACACAUUCUUCCCCUUGUCAAAUCUGCUCUGCAAACAGCACAGGUCACUCCACAGGAUAUUGACUGCAUCUGUUACACCAAGGGUCCUG